UCUAGUGGCGGACGGGUGAGUAACACGUGAGAAUUUGCCUUUAGGAGGGGGAUAACAAUUGGAAACGAAUGCUAAUACCCCAUAUGCUUCCGAGUGAAAUGGAUUUAUAUUUAUCCGCCUAAAGAGAAGCUCGCGGCUGAUUAGCUUGUUGGUAAGGUAAGAGCUUACCAAGGCGACGAUCAGUAUCUGGUUUGAGAGGACGAUCAGACACACUGGAACUGAGACACGGUCCAGACUCCUACGGGAGGCAGCAGUGGGGAAUUUUCCGCAAUGGGCGAAAGCCUGACGGAGCAAUACCGCGUGAGGGAAGACUGCCUAUGGGUUGUAAACCUCUUUUUUCAGGGAGGAAUCAAUGACGUGUACCUGAAGAAUAAGCAUCGGCUAACUCCGUGCCAGCAGCCGCGGUAAGACGGAGGAUGCAAGUGUUAUCCGGAAUCACUGGGCGUAAAGCGUCUGUAGGUGGUUUAAUAAGUCAACUGUUAAAUCUUGAGGCUCAACUUC
rnacentral:rRNA from 1 species